GACGAACGCUGGCGGCGUGCUUAACACAUGCAAGUCGAACGGAAAGGCCCUGCUUUUGUGGGGUGCUCGAGUGGCGAACGGGUGAGUAACACGUGAGUAACCUGCCCUUGACUUUGGGAUAACUUCAGGAAACUGGGGCUAAUACCGGAUAGGAGCUCCUGCUGCAUGGUGGGGGUUGGAAAGUUUCGGCGGUUGGGGAUGGACUCGCGGCUUAUCAGCUUGUUGGUGGGGUAGUGGCUUACCAAGGCUUUGACGGGUAGCCGGCCUGAGAGGGUGACCGGCCACAUGGGGACUGAGAUACGGCGCAGACUCCUACGGGAGGCAGCAGUGGGGAAUAUUGCACAAUGGGCGGAAGCCUGAUGCGGCAACGCCGCGUGCGGGAUGACGUCCUUCGGGUUGUAAACCGCUUUCGCCUGUGACGAAGCGUGAGUGACGGUAAUGGGUAAAGAAGCACCGGCUAACUACGUG
rnacentral:rRNA from 1 species